AUGGCCACAUCACAUUGAAACACUGGUUCCCAUAUAAUCACCAAAGUUAAGCAAGGUUGAGCCUGGUCAGUAUCUAGAUGGGUUAACACUUGGGAAUACCAGGUGUUGUAAG